UACAGAGACUGCAAGCGUUAUUCGGAUUCACUGGGCGUAAAGGGUGCGCAGGCGGCCAAGUGUGUUAGGCGUGAAAGCCUGAGGCUUAACCUCAGAAUUGCACCUAAAACUACAUGGCUGGAGCAUUGGAGAGGGUAGCGGAAUUCACGGUGUAGCAGUGAAAUGCGUAGAUAUCGUGAGGAACACCAGAGGCGAAGGCGGCUACCUGGACAAUCGCUGACGCUCAGGCACGAAAGCGUGGGGAGCAAAAGGG
rnacentral:rRNA from 1 species